rnacentral:lncRNA from 1 species
CGGAUAUAGUACUUAGUAUGAGAUUUGUAGAGUUUUCUUCUCUGGUUGUAUGUGUGUGUAUAAACUUUAAUGGAGAAAGAUGAGAGUUUGCUCUAGGUGAUUUAGAAAGAGAGAUUGAUGAGAGUGUUUAUGAGAGAAUAAGAAACUUAGGAACAGAGAUUAAGAGACAGAAAGAUUAGGAGAAUAAGAGAUUAGAGAUUAGGGUUUCAGAUUCAAGAACAAGUUUAUCAUUCAUGAAGUGGAGAGGAAAACUCCCCCUUACUCCCUUAAGGCUCCAAAUCGCCACUUACAAGCUUAUUUAUAAGCUCAAUAGGUUUACACAAUCAGAAACCUAAAUCUAAUGGAUAAUAUUAACUUGAGAAAAUGGAUGGUGUAGAUGAGAUGGUCUUCUUGUAAUAUCUGAAGUGUUGGGAGGAUAAGGUUGGCUCCCACUUUAAUUCAAACCAUAGCAACCUGGCUCCUUGCUUGUGAUUGGCUCUCCUUAGGCUCCUCCUAAUCUGCCCAUGCAUCUGUCCAGGUUCAUGGUCGUGGCUCCCUUAUCUUUACAGCAAGAGACAGCAUGUCCAAGACCAGAACUAGCCAAUCACACACAAGGAAGCUCCCAUUGGUUGUUUGCCUCCACAAAGCAUCUUCUUGAUGCCAUAUUGAUUCCUAAUGCAUAAUGCCUUCCAGACAUGCUCUGAUCACACCCUAUCUUUGCACAGUUGGUCUGAUCACGCCCUAAGUUUGCACCAACUUCAAAUGGUCGAGUUAUGCACUUUUGGGAUCGACCUGGUACGUACGGAUCUGUACAGGCCGUACAACGUCCAUACCAAAUCCGUACUACCUCGCCCUAGCAUUGCACACUCGCCCAUUUGCUCCUCAACACUCUUCUAAGUCUCUCCUAGACUUUGCCCUUGCUUAGAACAUCCAUCAGAUCACUUCUGGACGUCUUUGGACACUUCAUAACUCUUGAUAGGCAAUCUCUAAAGCUCUUGCCCUA